GUUGCUGUGAUGAGCCUUAACAUGUAAGAAGAUUCAUAAAAAAGGUUGGAUCUUCAUUGAGAUAUACUUGUUACGUUUGGCUGAGCUAC